rnacentral:rRNA from 1 species
UACGGGGGGGGGCAAGCGUUUGUUCGGAAUUACUGGGCGUAAAGGGCUCGUAGGUGGCCAACUAAGUCAGACGUGAAAUCCCUCAGCUUAACUGGGGAACUGCGUCCGAUACUGGAUGGCUUGGAUUUGGGAGAGGGAUGCGGAAUUCCAGGUGUAGCGGUGAAAUGCGUAGAUAUCUGGAGGAACACCGGUGGCGAAGGCGGCAUCCUGGACCAAUAUUGACGCUGAGGAGCGAAAGCCAGGGGAGCAAAGCGGG